UUCCCCUUCAAGUUGUAGUUGCCACUGACACUUUGGUCUAUCCUCUCCCUACACCUCCCCAUCUUUCUGCCUGCAUCUUCAGUUUAUUUACAGAGACACAUGGCUAGGGCUUUUUUGGGGUGUGCGGGUUGUAUUUUUUCUUUCUUUUUUUUUUGUUGGAGCUUACAUAUCCAGUAGGGAUUAUAUUUUUUUCUAAGAAAGAUGAGAUUGUGUUAAGCUGUUCUACUGUUUUCUUUCCCCACUAGCAGUAGGUCCAGGAGAUCUUUCCAGAUCAGGAAACACAGAUUGACCUUUUUAAUCUUUUUAAUGACCACAGAGCAUUCUAUUGCAGGGACCAGCAUUUCCGUAUCAACUGGGUUGAUGUUUUUUCAGAAGUACUUUAUUCAUUCCAGAGGGAGAACAGAAAGGAAAUAAUGGCAGGAAGUCACAGCAGCCCAGAAAUAGCCCCUUCCAAAGGGCAGGCUGUGACCCCACAGCAACUUUGCAGGCACCUCCCUUGAUUUCCUGUGGGUUUCUCAGGUAGCCCAUCAGGCAAGAGCUGCCCCAGGACAGGUUUAACAGCAGGAAGAUCUGGGUAGCUCAGAUGGGCUCUGGAUCGUGCUGCUGGGCUGGAAUCUUAGCUCCCCCAACCAUAGGGGUAGCCCCUGAGCCAGUCUCUUCACCUCUCUGAACUUCAGUCUUCUUUCUCAUCUGUGAAACGGGGAUGAUGGGAGUCGGUGCCUCCUGGUUUGUUGGAAGGAUUCAGUUGAUAAGGUGUGAUUCCUCGUCCCCCGAGGUGGACCGAAUUGCCGUAAAUGCCAUGAGGCCACCUUGCUACUCAGGCCACGCCUCAUCCUUGACUCCCCUCCUCCUCUCACAGCCACAGCCAAUCCAGUGGCAAGGGCUGCCGACUCUGCCUUCCCAACAUGGCUGUCCUGGGCUACUUCCUGGUUAUCCUCACCUCCACCCUCACUCGAGCAGGUUAAAAGCUUACAUCAGAGCCCAUCCCUCUGCUGCUCAGACCCUCUGGUGGCUUCUCUUCUGGCUCAGAGUAAAAGCCAAAGUCCUGGCCAGGCGUGGUGGCUCAUGCCUGUAAUCCCAGCCCUUUGGGAAGCCAAGGCGGGUGGAUCACUUGAGGUCAGGAGUUCGAGACCAGCCUGGCCAACAUGGUGAAACCCCCGUCUCUACUACAAAUACAAAAAUUAGCUGGGCGUGGUGGCACACACCUGUAUCCCAUCUACUCAGGAGGCUGAGGUGGGAGGACUGCUUGAACCCAGAAGGCAGAGGUUGCAGUGACUCACCUGAAAUCUCACCAGUGCACUCCAGCCUGGGUGAUAGAGCAAGGCUCUGUCUCACAAAAAAAAAAAAAAAAAAAGUGGGCCUGGCUGGCUCACUGCCCUCACCUUCUGCCUUGUUCUCUGGCCACACCAGCCUCCCUGUUUUUCAUCAGCACCGCCAAAUGCACUCCUGCCUCAGGGCCUUUGUACCUACUUUCCCUGCUGCCCAGACCAUCUCCCUGAUGACCUGAGGUCUCUCCUCAUGCAUGGCCUCAUCAGAGAGGCCUCUCCUGACCAUCCUAUCAAAAUAGCCCUGUCUUGUCUCUGGCAAAAGAAAGCCACCGAAGAAUGAGAGAGGCUAUUUUCUCCCCUGGCCACCUCCCUAGAGGAGCUGCUUCCCUGAGGGGCCCAGCGGGGACCCUUGUGCCCCGGAUUACGACUCCUGGCGAGUGCUGGCUCUCCCUGUCUGUGUCUGCUGCAGGCGAGAAGCCCUACAAAUGUUCAGUGUGUGAGUCUGCGUUCAACCGCAAGGACAAACUGAAGAGACACAUGUUGAUCCACGAGCCCUUCAAGAAAUACAAAUGCCCUUUCUCGACGCACACAGGCUGCAGUAAGGAGUUCAACCGGCCGGACAAGCUGAAGGCCCACAUCCUCUCCCACUCUGGCAUGAAGCUCCACAAAUGCGCCCUGUGCAGCAAGUCCUUCAGCCGCCGCGCCCACCUCGCCGAGCAUCAGCGUGCCCACACGGGCAACUACAAGUUCCGCUGUGCUGGCUGCGCCAAGGGCUUUUCCCGCCACAAAUACCUCAAAGAUCACCGCUGUCGUCUCGGCCCCCAAAAGGACAAGGACCUGCAAACCCGGCGGCCCCCCCAGAGGAGGGCAGCCCCCCGCAGUUGCGGCAGUGGUGGGCGCAAGGUGGUGACCCCCUUGCCUGACCCACUGGGGCUGGAGGAGCUGAAGGAUGCAGGGGCUGGGCUGGUGCCCGAGGCCGUCCCCGGCAAGCCGCCCUUCGCAGAGCCGGACGCGGUGCUGUCCAUUGUUGUGGGUGGUGCGGUGGGCGCGGAACCUGAGCUGGUGGUACCUGGACACGCUGAGGGGCUGGGCUCCAACCUGGCUCUGGCGGAGCUGCAGGCCGGGGCCGAGGGCCCAUGUGCCAUGCUCGCUGUGCCUGUCUACAUCCAGGCCUCCGAGUGACAGACCUGAGGUGUCUGUUUCCUGGGCAGGCCUGAUGCUCCUGUUUGGGUCCAGGGCCCCUGGGGGCAGACCGGUGAUCCCUACCAGUGGAAGCGAGCCAUCGAGCCAUUGGCAGAAAUCCUGCUGAAUGUCAUUCAGAAACCUCGGCCCAUGCUCGCCCUCCUGUGCCCCUCUCCUGCCGGAAAGCCCUGCAACGUUCUAGGGUUGGGGGCAGGGCCACCCACGGUUUCUGGGCGGAGUCAUGGUGGCAGGACAGAGAUGGCUGAAGCCUGAGCAGCCCAGAGUCCCGCUGGUCUAGGCUGGUGGUUGGGGCCCCUGGGAGAGAAGACAGGGCGUUCCUCCCCACUCUGCCUCCAGGCUGCCUCUGGGUGGCCUCUAGUCCGCUGUUCUUCAGGUGGCCUACCACAAACUCUUCAGAGUUUAUGUGUUGGACCUUUUCACAGACGGUUCCCCACAGCGUCCUCAGACAGCUCUGUGAUGUAGCUUUUAGGAAGCACUCAGGCGUCACGGUUAGACUGCAGCUAUGAGACAGAUCUGGCUUCAAAUCCAAGAGUUGCCAUGCACUUGCUGUGUGACCUUGGGCAAGUCACUUCACUUCUCUGAGCCCUGUGUUCCUCAUCUGUACAAUGGGGCUUACGAUACUACUACCUCAUAGGGUUGUCCUGGGGAUCCAGUAUGAUGAAGUGCACCAGGGGCUUGGCAUGGUGCCCGGCACACAGAAAGUGCUCAGUAAAUGUUUUUGUCAUAACAUG
rnacentral:sRNA from 1 species